AAAGUGAUGAAUUGCUGUAAGUCAGCCCUGGUUGAGAUGGCCUGCAACAAAAGGGGGGAAGGGCUAAAUUUGAGAGCUUCAGUUUUUGUCAUAUGACUGAUCAAAACUCCAGACUUUUUUCUUUUCUUUUUUUUUGUCUCCAUAACUUUAAAUGGGUGUGUGUUCCAGAGCUCACUGACCACCACAUAAAAUGGGAACCUGGGCUCCAUUUUCACUAGUUGUGGGGUUCAGCCGUUCACUUAGGACAAAAAAAAAAAAAAAAAACCUGCUGAAAUACUGAUUUUUAGAAUGCCGACACUGUCACUGCUAUAUAAUGGGUAAACUAGCAGGCCGUGGGCCAGAAGUGGGUCCUUUGCGUAUUUUGCAACCCCCCGAAAACAUUUGGAUGCAAUACAUGUUUUGACUACUUAAAUGAAAUCGUAAAUUGCCACAUUUUUGUAAAACACAAAAUUUUAAUCCCAUAUAAUAUAAAUUAGUUUUUGCAGCCGGUCUGCUCUGUGUCAGCCUGAUCCCGUCAGAUCUCAGAAGCUAAGCAGUGCAGAACCUGGUUAGUACUUGGAUGGGAGACCUCUUUGGAACAUCAGCGGCUGUGUGUGUUUUCCAGGUAGAAAUGGAGUUGCGUCAGGAAGGGCAUCCGGAAAACUUGUGCCAGCUACCAAUACGGAUCUGGCUGUAUCCGUUGUGGCGACCCCCGAACACAGAACAGGAGCAGCCGAGAGGACAACAGCAUAAUAUAAAUUAGCUUUUAUCUUUGUCUGUAUAUUUUGGGUUUUAGCACACACUAUAUAAAACAAAAGCUCAUCUCGUGUACAAAUUCCCCAAAAUAAGUUUUUAUGGCACUCAGUCAAAAAAGUUUCAUUCAUUUAUUUAAAUGCGUAUAUGCCUAAAAUACAUGUCAAAAUUACAGUGGAGGGUGUUUUGUGUGUGUGUGUAUAUACAUGUGUGUGUAUAUAUAUAUAUAUAUAUGUAUGUAUGUAUAUAAUCUUUGAUAAAGAGCAAGUAGACUUGGAUUGCAUCCCAAUAUUUUCUGUAUUAAAAUUGCAGAGACGGGGGGGGAUUUUGAUGGGUGGUACGAGGGACCGAUUUCCUCCCAGCUAAUAGAAAGAGCUCAGUAAACUGCUUCUUGUUGCCUCUAAACAGGCAAAAAAAAAAAAUUAAAUUAGAAGUGUCUGUUAGCAUGAUGAGGAUAACUACAGAGUUAAAUGUAACAAAGCUCUUCAUCUGCAAACAAAUUAUAACGACUGCGGAGCGCAGUGCCGCUAUGAGGUUAAAAUAAAGCAGCUAACUCUGUAAUCUGACAUUUAGCAGGGUAGCUGGUGACGGUGUUUGUGUUCUGACUCAAUACUAUACCAGUUAAAUUAAUAUUGUCCAGAGAGAAAAGAUGAACCUCAAAACCAUUAAAAAAUAGAGCCUAGGUUGAAAAUUGCAGAAUUACUUGUUCAAUAGAUGUGUAAUCAAAAGUUACUAAAAUGCAUUAAACUACUAUAUACAAAAACAAUUAGUCACCCAAUUUUAAACUACUCCAAAAGCAGGCUAUUCUACAAUCAGGGUUGUAAAUUGAGAGGAAAAAUUAAAAUUUUCUAUUCUGAUGUCCUUGCUUACAUCAUUGUGUGCAUUUUACUUUGCACUUUCUCAUAAAAGAAGUUUAUUUUCAGUGUAAGAUUUAACACUUAAAAGUAAAAUAUACAUAACUAAAACGUUCAGAUAAUGUAUAAAAAAUUGUGCUUUUUUUCUGCCUGUAUUUUAUUUUUUUUCCUAUUUUGUAUCUGAUCUAUACACCCUGUAGAUGUAAAAUGAAUCUUUCACUACUGAAAUGCAAUGACCUGUUUUCUGUGCCGCCCCUCAGGAAUGGGGAGUUACUACUGCAGUUUCUUAUUGUAUCAGAUUCUUUUUUAAGUUUGUAAUAAAAAGAAAACAGACUGGCAAAACAAUAAGCAUGGAAAAUAA